rnacentral:rRNA from 1 species
GAUGAACGCUGGCGGCGUGCCUAAUACAUGCAAGUCGAGCGAACGGACGAGAAGCUUGCUUCUCUGAUGUUAGCGGCGGACGGGUGAGUAACACGUGGAUAACCUACCUAUAAGACUGGGAUAACUUCGGGAAACCGGAGCUAAUACCGGAUAAUAUUUUGAACCGCAUGGUUCAAAAGUGAAAGACGGUCUUGCUGUCACUUAUAGAUGGAUCCGCGCUGCAUUAGCUAGUUGGUAAGGUAACGGCUUACCAAGGCAACGAUGGAUAGCCGACCUGAGAGGCUGAUCGGCCACACUGGAACUGAGCCACGGUCCAGACUCCAACGGGAGGCAGCAGUAGGUAAUCUUCCGCAAUGCGCGAAAGCCUGACGGAGCGACGCCGCGUGAGUGAUGAAGGUCUUCGGAUCGUAAAACUCUGUUAUUAGGGAAGAACAUAUGUGUAAGUAACUGUGCACAUCUUGACGGUACCCAAUCAGAAAGCCACGGCUAACUCCGUG